AUGCUCCAGGAUUGGGAAAGACCCCAGGGUCCUGGGCAUCCAGAUAAGCAGGAUGUUGGUGAGUUCAACGAUGAGGUGACAGUCACGGAGGAUAAGAUUAAUGCCCUCAUUAAAGCAGCCGGUGUAAAUGUUGAACCUUUCUGGCCAGGCUUGUUUGCAAAAGUUCUGGCCAAUGUCAACAUCGGGAGCCUCAUCUGCAAUGUAGGGGCUGGUGGACCUGCCCCAGCAGCUGGAGCUGCACCAGCAGGAGGUCCUGCCCCCUCCACCACUGCUGCCCCAGAUGAGGAGAAGAAAGUGGAAGCAAAGAAAGAAGAAUCUGAGGAGUCUGAUGAUGACAUGGGCUUUGGUCUUUUUGACUAAACCUCUUGUAACAUGUUUAAUAAAAAGCUGAACUCUGAAA